UAAUGCAUGAAUUUGAUAAUAUUAACUAUCUAACAACAGAACAUUGUCUCAUCAUGAGUUUACAACUUGGUCUACAUAUGCCUUGUUCCUGAUGCAAAAAUGAUCUUCUUUUGCUAACAGGGAAGGUCAUGAUAAGCUCGGAGGUAGAAGUAAGAUCUGUGUCUCGAGAAAAAAAACUCGAGGGGUCUGGACUAAGAUCAAUGGUGAGCGACACGGAUGACCUGUUUACCCAUGUUCCGUCCAGAAAACAGUCCAACAAAGGCGGAAGGACCACUCUCGAGGCCUUCGUUCAUGUCUUCUAAGUAUGUAAUCUUUCCCUGCUUGUACAAGCUACUAACGUCUUUAAGAAAGCGCGGAAAUAGAUGUAGAUAAUCGCUCUGAAGAAAGCCCUGCAUCUUAACGCGCUUAGUGAUGAGCUGAAACAAGUUGUGUAUACCUUGUGGAUUAGAAAGGCUUUGCUGAGAAACCAUCCCGCAUAUGGCAAUCCGACCAUGGAUCCUCAUGUUGAGCAAUGCUGCGCCUAGAAUGGACCCGCCCACGUUGUCAAAGUAAAUGUCGAUCCCCUCGGGGAAAUGUCUUUUGAGAGCUUUAUCGAUAUCUGCUUCUUCCUUAUAGUUGAAUGCUCCAUCAAAUCCAAGCUUACUCUUAAGUAUGUCAACCUUUUGUUUUGUCCCAGCACAUCCUACAACGUAGCAUCCAUGUAACUUCGCGAGUUGGCCAACGAGCUGGCCAACUGCUCCCGAGGCAGCAGAAACGAAAACAUAAUCCCCUUUUUUCGGUGUGCAAACCUCGUAAAAUCCAGCAUAAGCUGUAAAACCUGGCAUGCCAAGAAGACCGAUAUGAUAGGAUAGAGGCAUAUCAUCCGCCUGAAUUUUCCUCAGCUGCUCGGUAUUGUAUAUUAAGCUGUAUUCUUCCCAACCGGUGAAACCUGAGAUUAUAUCACCUGGCUUGAAGUCUGGAUUAUCCGAGUCUAAAACUUUGGAGACGCCAAAUCCUUCAAUUACCUCUCCCGGAACGAAAGGAGGGAGGUAAGACCCGGUGAA
rnacentral:misc_RNA from 1 species